ensembl:misc_RNA Metazoa_SRP Metazoan signal recognition particle RNA
ACCCAUCAAAAAUUACUAUACCAGCUUGGGAGGCUGAGAAGGAAAGAUUGCUUGAGUCUUGAAGUUCUGGGCUGCAGUGCUCUAUGUUGAUAGGGUAUCUACGUUACAUUCAGCAUCAAUAUAGUAACCUCUUGGGAGUGGGGGAGGACCACUAGAUUGCCUAAGGAGUGGUGAACUGGCCCAGGCUGGAAAAGGAGCAAGUCAAAACUUCUGUGCCAGUUAGGAUUGUGCCUGUGAAUAACCAUUGCAUUCCAGUCUGGGCAACAUUGUGAGUCCCUUUGGCU